CUUGCGGACACAAAAAGGCCAGCUCAGCUGCCGGUUAUAUCCCCCCCGGCGGCCUGUGGCCAGGCGUCCGCGCACGAGCGCUCCUGGAAGACCUGUAGCCCCGCCGCGAGUUCCGAUCGGCUCCGCGUGAGGAGCGGGCUUCUGCGACGUCACAAGCGCGCGCCUUCGGUGACGUCGCAAGGAUGGGCCUUGGAGCGAUGUCACAGGCGGGGGCGUUCGGCGGCGUCACGGAGGUGGGAGUGUCAGUAGCUGAGCAGUUGUCUCCUGAGAGUGGAGCCUGGUAACCGCGACCUCCCCUCCAGGUCCUGUGUGUUGCUGGCUGGAGAAGGGUAGUUGACAAACUCAGACCCAGCGCAGUGUUUAUGUCGGUCAAAAAUACAAAAAUAUGUCCAGGCGCGACCAAGGCGGGAGGAUCCCUUCAGGCCACGAUCAGUCUAGCAACAUGGCGCGACCCUGUCUCAGUAGUCCUACCUCAGCCCCCCAGCUACUUGAACCCCAAGGUUCAAGGCUCCAAUGAGCUAUGGUCCCACCAUAGCAUUCCAGCCUGCGAGACUGAGAUGAUGAUGAUUCUCCACCUUCUAAGAGACCAAAGACCAUUGAGACACCACAGCCACCAGUCCCGUAACCUGCCAAUGCUGGGCAACAGAAAGUGAGGGAGUUCAACUCUGGCCCUCACAAUCCAGUGGAGGAGACAAAACUCAUCUGCCUCUGUCCCUCUGGGCGCACCUCAUGCCGGUGCAUCUGUGGACAUGGGCCAUGCUCCUGGGCUUCCGAAGUUGGAGAAAGCUGCCAGGUUCAGGUGGGUACCUCAGAGCAGCUGCUGCCCUCUGGACACAGUGACAAAAGAACCCUGUGGGUCUGGAGCCCUGGUCUGGGGCAUUGGGCAAGGCUCUUGCACUUCUCUGAGCCCAUUUCCCCAUCUGGAUAGUGUGCUGAUUCUAUCUCCCUGUGGGCACUGAGGGCUCAGUGUUGGAGAGUCAGCAUCUGGGGUUUGGGCUGUAAUUCCCCUUCAGCCCCAUAGCUGGGGGGAGCCAGGGACUUUAUCGGGAUUAACCUAGGUGUCAUUCUAGCUUCCUGCCCCUGGCUUGGGUUCAGCAUCUGAAGUAGUCUAGGCGGCAGGUGGUCCUGGUGGGGGUUGGGGCUUUUCCCCAUUCUGAGGUCACACCCAGAGCCAGAAAUGUUGGUGCCUGCUCUGGGCAAAGGUGGCAGCCUGUGCGACAAGAGCGAAACUCCGUCUCAAAAAAAAAAAAAAAAACCUUCCACCAUUUCAAGGGGCUCACAUCUCCCUAAGGGCCCGGUAAUUGGCCUGAUCUGGCCUGCAGUUGGCCCCCAGGGUGCAGGUAACACCCCACCUUACCUGGCUUCUUUCUGCCAGGGCCAAUCUUCAGACCUCAGGACUUUCCAGCCUAUCCCACCUCCCUCUCUGGCCAGCCUUGAGCCCUUGUGGGUCCAGCACAUUUUCCAGGCUGUCUCUUGGUUGUCCUUCAGCCUCAAGGUCUGGAUCAUGCUGCUCCCCCUCCCAUUCACCAAGACCCACAAGGACCACUCCACACUCAGCUCAGCCCCAUCC